AUUGAACGCUGGCGGCAGGCCUAACACAUGCAAGUCGAGCGGAUGAAGGGAGCUUGCUCCUGGAUUCAGCGGCGGACGGGUGUGUAAUGCCUAGGAAUCUGCCUGGUAGUGGGGGAUAACGUCCGGAAACGGGCGCUAAUACCGCAUACGUCCUGAGGGAGAAAGUGGGGGAUCUUCGGACCUCACGCUAUCAGAUGUGCCUAGGUCGGAUUAGCUAGUUGGUGGGGUAAAGGCCUACCAAGGCGACGAUCCGUAACUGGUCUGAGAGGAUGAUCAGUCACACGGGAACUGAGACACGGUCCAGACUCCUACGGGAGGCAGCAGUGGGGAAUAUUGGACAAUGGGCGAAAGCCUGAUCCAGCCAUGCCGCGUGUGGGAAGAAGGUCUUCGGAUUGUAAAGCACUUUAAGUUGGGAGGAAGGGCAGUAAGUUAAUACCUUGCUGUUAUGACGUUACCAACAGAAUAAGCACCGGCUAACUACGUG
rnacentral:rRNA from 1 species